UGCAGGGUAGCUCAGUUGGUAGAGCACAGAAAAACGGAUCAUGAAAAAAGAGGUGAUCCUAACCGCAAACACUUUUCCCUAUCAGGCUGGUGUCGCCGGUUCGAUUCCGGCCCCUGCAA
rnacentral:tRNA from 1 species